rnacentral:lncRNA from 1 species
CCAGCGCCACCAGGCGGCCGCGCGGCGUCACUGCAGGCGCAGCCACGUCCCGCCCGCCCCGCGCACCCGCGCCGCGCGCCGCGCGCCGUCGAGGUCCCCGCGUCGCCGCCCUCUGCCUUUCGUAACUCGGCGCGGGGUCUGGGUUUGCAGGGCUUUGAAAACGAGCCCCCGGCGCCUUGCGCCCUCUCUUCCGGCGCUCUGGCCGCAGAUUCGGGUAGCGCCGGCCACCGUGGACCAUUUUUCUUUUUUUCCUGCUUCGCGGCGUUCCAGGAUUUUCUCUUCCGGGUCGCUCUGAGGCACGGUCAGGGGUGCCAGCAUUCCUGGUUUGGCAUUGAACCCUCGGACUCUGCAAACACCUUUGAGGGGAAGCCCCCUUUUGCGCUUGCGCCGCGCCUCCCGCGGCCGGGAGCUAAGUCGGGCUGGCAGGGCCAGGUGGCACAUAAGCUCUGCCUCUGGGUUUCUAUUUGGCGUCAUCCGUGUGCAGAGGCGGCUGAGAUUUCGGCAACACAACAGCCUGGCCUUGACUGCAGCUCCAUCCCCAGCUCGAAUGGAGCUCUUACCCACCCCGACCCCAGCUACAGCAUCCGGUGGAUGGGAGGGGCUGGAAUCAUGCAAACUUGUGCAAGAAAACCAUCAUACAUCACAGCGCGUGUCCUCAUCUUUCAACAAACAUGUAGCAUUCGGAUCCAUAGCCUGGGUCGUGGAAGCUACUCCUUCGGUGACAAUCCCCCUCCUUCUAAAUGUGGUGGAGCUGACAUUGUGAUCUGGGGAGGCAGGUGGCCCUCUUCGUCUGCAUUUUUCCCCCUCCAGAGGUUGCCUAGGAGGUUUGUGUAAUUGCCUUGUGCUCGGGAGGUCACAUCUCACUUGACGUUUGCAGAAACCAAGUUCAGAUGGGGCGCCUAUCACUCGUGCUCUGAGAAGAUGAGAAGCCCAAUGUGGGUCUCACUGGCUAAAAUCAAGCCAAGUCUUCACCACCAAAGACGGUGUUGCCAAUGUGAACUUUGCAGGAAAACAAAUCUGGUCACGGCUCCCUCCUUCUGGAGGCUCUUGCUGAGGUCCUUAUCCCCUGAAUAAAAAUGUCCAAGGAAACCAUGAAAAAGCACAUGCUUCCAAGCGACGGGGAAACACGGCCUCUCUCCUCUCCUUUCAAGCCGCGUGUCCACCAGGACAGCCACGGGCCCACACACCCUGCAGAGCCGUAUUUCUUUGCCCAGGAGAAGACAAACCGGCACUUAAUGGGAAAAGAUAUAUAUUUGUUCCAGCACAUCAAGGACAAAAAUAAAACGAGACUGGGGGAAAUGGUUUCUUUGCAAGGCAGCUAUUUAAUUGAUCUAUUUGGAAUUCAUAUGCCCUGUUGCUGCAUGCUAAUUGCAAGCCAUUUUGAAGCAGAAUCAGCUUGGAUCACAACUGAUUUAAGGCCAUGGAACUGGCCUGGCCAGCUCGGGCGAGCCGUGUACAUGAACUCCCUGGUUUUACCAGGCCUGGGGAGAGAGGACUUCUUUGGCGAAGGCAGAACAACAAGCCUAAAACUCCAGGGGUGACACAGACCUUGGAGGCCUUUCAGAAGCAACAAGCCAAGUUUUGUUUUCUCUUCCUUGCAUCCCUACAGCAGCGGGUAACACACUGGCACCGCACCCCCUANCCCCCCCCCCCCCCCCCCCCCCCGGCACCAGAGCGCUCUCAGCCGCGUCUCCAUCUUCAAAACAGCCUUCUGGAAAGACGGAUGGCAUGACCUCCAAUCUAACGGCCAACUCCAGACGCCUGGCAACACCCCCGCUGCAGCUUUAUCGGGCAGCAUCACACAGGUUUGUUUUCUUUUUUCUUUAUUUUGGCCGUUUUCAAGAGUACCUCAAGGAGUUCCCAUUGUGGCUCAGCAGGUUAAGGGCCUGACAUAGUCUCUGUGAGGAUGCAGGUUUGAUCCCUGGCCUUGCUUAGUGGGUUAAGGAUCCAGUGUUGCCCCAAGCUGCAGUGUAGGUCACCGAGGUGGCUCUGCUCCCGUGUUGCUGCGCCUGUGGCUUAGGCCUCAGCUGCAGCUCUGAUUCGACCCUUGGCAUAAGCCACAGCUGCAGCUGUAGAAAGAAAGAGCACCUCGAAUUCAAAACACCGCAGGAAGAGGAGUUAGAUAUGUAGCACCGAAAGAUGACGUCUUAAGACUUCCUAGGCUGAUUGUCAAUAAAAACACCUGCUGAAAAACAAAAACUGACCGUCGGGUCAGGCGCCUGUACCCUGGGAGGAGUGAGAUCAUCAAGAAGGAGCCAAAGGGAGAAAGAGGGAUCCGAUGAGCCUGGGAAAGGCUGUAUGGACCUUGUUUUUGUUCUCGAAUGCGUACAGCACAAGGUCCCAAACCCUGGUCUGGGAAGCUGAUGCUUUCUCUGGCAGAUGUUCUGUGCAGCUUAGGAGGGAGAACGGUUCCCCACCUGUCUUCAUUAACUGUCAAAUAGAUGCACCAAAAGGAUAAUUUUGCCAGAUAUUCAACGGCUGACCUUGGUAGCAUCGUAACCGCUUACCAAGUAAGGUAUGUGGCACACGUCCCUCCAAUUCUCACAGUCCUCCCUCUACCUGGCAUUACCCUCCCCAGAUCUUCCUUGGAAGACUUCAAGUCUCAUACGUUGAGGGUGUUUCUCUGUGGCUCAGUGUCUUAAGACCCAGCAUUGUCACUGCAGGGGCUUGGGUUGCUGCUGUGGCUUGAGGUUCAAUCCCUGGCCCUGGAACUUCCACAUGCCAUGGGCGUGUCCAAAAGGAAAAAGAAAGAAAGAAAGCUCAGACAUUGAUACUAAAUGUUUAAUAAGCCAUUUUAGGAGCAGACACUGUAUUAGUACUGUUUGAUAAAUUCUGGACUAGAACAUUUCUGUGAAAUUAAUGAAUGAUGGCCACUGUGCCAAUGUAUAUAAGUAGGGGAUUUAGUAUGAUUCUAUUAUAUAUUUUUCUACCAAAGACAAUACGUGCUUUUUUUUGGUUUAAAGUUGACUUUAAAAAUCCAGUGACUGAGGCUUUUCCUGAGAGACUAGGAUUAUGCAGACAGCAUGCAAAACAAGUUUGUAGUAAAAAAAGAGAUGAUGGCUAGUUACUCUGUCUAUUCACUGCUAUCUCAUAUUCAGGUUAUUUUCACAUAUCCUGGGAGGCUUCCUGGAGGAGACAGCCUGUGAUCCAGGACAAGUGGAGUUUUCACCAGGAAGACAGAUUUGGGGGAGCAGGUGUGCAGAAUACGCAGAGGUCCAGAGGGUAGGGGAAGAGGAAAUGUCACAGCAGGCAUUUGUCUCUGACUGGAAAAGUCUCCCAGUGAAAGGAUGUUGCAAAGGGUAGGGCAACCCGGUGGGGAGCCGGCCUGCAGAGUUCCAUGGCCUCUCUUGGUAAGAAGUAAGGAGCUGCUGUAAGUUCUGCUAAAAACAGGGUGAUUAGGAAUUCCCAUAGCUCCUAAAGUUACAAACCCGACUCGUAUCCGUGAGGAUGCAGGUUUGAUCCCUGGCCUCGCUCAGUGGGUUAAGGAUCCCAUAUUACUGUGAGCUGGGGUAUAGGUCACAGCCUUGGCUCAGAUCCCGUGUUGCUGUGGCUGUGGUGUAGGCCGGCAACUGCAGGUCUGCUUCGACCCUUAGCUUGGGAACCUCCAUAUGUCACUAGCAUGGCCCUAAAAGCAAAUAAACAAACCAAAAAACCAAAACAACAACAAUAAAACAAACCAAAAAUAAACACAACCCAGUGUGAUCAGGGCUGUACCAUAAGACGAUUUGAAUGGAGCAGAGAUGGUCAUGCAUCAUGUGGCAGGGGGACAGACAGAUCGUCUCAUUUCAAGCAGCUGACAUCAUCUUGAAAUUUGGGUGGCUUUAUUGCAACUCAUUGAAAAGCACAAUUACACAGAAAUGCACGAACAAUGAAGCCAUCUAAGUUCUAGCCCUCGCUUCGCUGCUCAUUAGUUUUGUGUCAGGAUGAGUCAUUUCACGUCACUGAUCCUUCUAGUCUCGUCUGGGUGAGUGUUGAUUACUAAGGGGGCUUCCUUGAGUGCUAAGGUGAGUCGCCUGAUCCUGGGUGAUGAGAAAACUCAUUUCCUCUGUUGGUAUUUUCAUUUCAAAAUUUCCAAAGUGAUUUAAAUAGACGAUUUCAUCAUUUCUGCCUUAUUCUAAAACAAGCUAUUUCCCUCGAGAUGCCUAUGUAGCAUGUUUUCCUCUCAUCUUGUCCUUAAAUUUGUCACUUAAAUAUUGAAUCCAGGCAACGAAAAAGGCAAAGCCUUGCUGACACCACAUCUCUCUAAAUAUUAUAGCUUCUAAACUUGGGGGCCACUGGACUGGACCCCAAACCAGCCUCUCCCUGUGCCGAUCCAGCCUUCUUAAGGACAGCUAAUAAUUGAGUCAAGUGGGGCAGUUCCUGCUGUGGCUCGGUGCCUACACCACAGCUCACAGCAACACUGGCUCUUCAAGCCACUGUGCGAGGCCAGGGAUCAAACCCGCAUCCUCAUGGAUGCUAGUCAAGCAUUUCCGCCGAGCCACGACGGGAACUCCUGGGUGCAUAUUUUAAACGUUAUGUCCAGAUGUUUACGUAUGUUUUUUACAUUUUACGAUUUAAUUUUUAUUUUAUGUUUCAGUAAUAAAUAGAAAUUUCUCACCAGUCCAUCUUGUGUACUGAGAGCAGCGAUCCUCUCCAGCCUGGGGGAUCUUGGCACAGAGACAAAAUCAACCACACAGCGGUUCUCAGCUCUGUACACCCGACUGUCCUAUAACCAAGAGCCUGUCAGGUCCACUGUGCAGCCGUGGUUUUCACAGACAGAUGUUUGCAGUUUGUCUCCCAAGGUGACGCUGACUCAAACAUCAGGCAGAUUUAUUCCUUCUCCAUCCUCCCGCCGCUCAUUCUCAGGUUUUAGAUUUUCUCAUUGAAUAGUUGAAGCUGUGUUAUAUGCUUUCUAUAAAUCUUCACGAAGUUUCUCGACCCAGGGCCGUACAUAUUGAGAACUGCUAUCUGUUACCCUCUGAGGAACUGAGUGAUGUAUUUUAUGUUAUUUUAUGUUAAGAUUUCUAUUUUUUCUAUUAUAGUUCUGUCAAUUUCUGCUGUAUGUACAGCAAAGUAACCCAGUCAUAUAUAUAUACAUUGUACAUAUACAUUCUUUUUUUCUUGCCGUAUCCUCCACCAUGUUCCAUCACAAGAGACUAGAUAGAGUUCCCUGUGUGAGUGAUGUAUUUUAGAGUUCUGUGUUAAUUAAUCCUCUUCUACUUUUUAAAUUCACAAUGCUCACAGCCUGACUUUUCCCCCUGGAGAAGAGUUGGGACAAGCAACCUGGGAGCCCUGACAUUGACCGACCUAGAGACAUGAGCAAUAGGUACCUGAGGUUUCAGUUUCACCCGCCCCCCCAUCCCUGUGUUUGUGGUUUCAAGACACCCCCUUCCAAGAUGCCUUCUUUACCCCCUUCAGCCACCAGGAAACUCACCUCCCUCUGAGCUUCUCUCACUCUGACUACUGUUCCCAGCCCUGUUCAUUCUUUGCCUGGUACUACUUCUCGAAUGCUAGGUCUGCUGUUGGCUGUAAGUCAUCAGACUCUCCAACACAGAGAGCAUUGCCAUGUGCUGUGAGGGGUAUUUUGGUACCUACCUCAGCAUUGGCUACAGUGGUCAGCACAAAUACCUGAGAAUAGAAUAAUGAAACAAAAUGUUUUUUAAAAAGAUUGGAAUGAACUUAACUAAUUCCAGACACACCACCCAGUCUGCUAACCCCUGGAACGUUCCUUUUGCCUUUUUUGGGGUGGGGAGAGGUUGGGCGUUUCACUUGUGGCCCAUGGAAGUUCCCAGGCUAGGGUCUAAUCGGAGCUGCAGCUGCCAGCCUACGCCAGAGCCACAGCAACGCGGGAUCCGAGCCACAUCUGCAACCUACACCACAGCUCACGGCAACACCGGAUCCUUAACCCACUGAGCAAGGGCAGGGACCGAACCCUCAACCUCAUGGUUCCUAGUCGGAUUCAUUAACCACCGCGCCAUGAUGGGAACUCCUGAUAAGUCUUUAAAGAGAUGUUGUGAGAUACCGGGAAUCAGGUAGGCACAUAGAGCGAUAAAACUUGAAGUCCCAGGAUGCACAGGAAAUCAAUGGGUUGGAGACUCAGUGCAAUAAAUCACUUUUGCCAUCAUCAUGAUUUUUCCCUUUGCCAUCACGUCCCCUCCCACGGAAAGAGAUGGCACAGGGAGGCAUGGGUUUCGGGAAGCAGAAACAGGUGAUUCUAGAAGUGGCAGAAGGGAUGGCAUAAGGCAGGAAGAAGCAGUUAUCUCCCCAGUAUGCCCCUGGCAUGCUUGACUGGGCAGGCUUGGAGAGAAAGUGAGGUGGAUUCUUAGUACAGCAGCCCUAAGAGAUUAUCUCAGACUUGAACUUAAUAAGCAGUUCUCUAAGGGAUUGACUAUCUCCAUCACAGGUGGGACAUUUUUGGUGGACAAGCCAAACCUGUUCCGAAGACAGAGCUGGCCUUUUCUUGCUUUGUACCCAUCAAGUCAUGAGCACCCAGAGCUUCUCCUAAAGCUGCCAGAUCCCCUGCGCUUGGCACGUUUCUCCUCCAGAUGCCAGGACAUGGGUCCUCAGAGCCAUGAAGAUAGAUGGAGGUCCAGGGGCACUUGACUGUACCAGGUCUUCCU